rnacentral:rRNA from 1 species
GACGAACGCUGGCGGCAGGCUUAACACAUGCAAGUCGAACGCCCCGCAAGGGGAGUGGCAGACGGGUGAGUAACACGUGGGAACGUACCCUUUGGUUCGGAAUAACUUGGGGAAACUCAAGCUAAUACCGGAUAAGCCCUUAUGGGGAAAGGUUUACUGCCGAAGGAUCGGCCCGCGUCUGGUUAGCUGGUUGGUGAGGUAAUGGCUCACCAAGGCGACGAUCAGUAGCUGGGCUGAGAGGAUGAUCAGCCACACUGGGACUGAGACACGGCCCAGACUCCUACGGGAGGCAGCAGUGGGGAAGAUUGGACAAUGGGGGCAACCCUGAUCCAGCCAUGCCGUGUGAGUGAUGGAGGCCUUAGGGUUGUAAAGCUCUUUUACCCGGGACGAUAAUGACUGUACCGGGAGAAUAAGCCCCGGCUAACUUCGUGCCAGCCGCCGCAGUAA